GUUAGGCACGGUGGCAUGUACCAUGUAGUCCCAGCUAUUCAGGAGGCUGAGGAGGAGGAUCACCUGAGCCCAGGAGUUCUGGGCUGUAGUGCGCUAUACCAAUCAGGUGUCCUCACUAAAUUUAGCAUCAAUAAGGUGUUCCCCAGGGAGCUGGGGACCACCAGGUUACCUAAGAAUGGGUGAAUUGCCCAGGUCAGAAAUGGAGCAGGUCAAAAUUCCCAUGCCGAUGGGUAGUGGAAUCAUGCCUGUGAAUAGCCACUGCCCUCCAGCCUGGGCAACAUAGUGAGACCCCGUCUCA
rnacentral:SRP_RNA from 1 species